AAUAUUGCACAAUGGAGGGAACUCUGAUGCAGCGACGCCGCGUGAGUGAUGAAGGCUUUCGCGUCGUAAAACUCUGUCCUUGGGGACGAUAAUGACGGUACCUAAGCAGCAAGCCCCGGCUAACUACGUUCCAGCCGCCGCCGUAAUACGUAGGGGGCGAGCGUUGUCCGGAAUUACUGGGCGUAAAGGGUACGUAGGCGGCUAUAUAAGUCAGGUGUGAAAUACCAGUGCUUAACACUGGAAUUGCAUUUGAAACUGUGUAGCUUGAGUGCAGGAGAGGAAAGUGGAAUUCCUAGUGUAGCGGUGAAAUGCGUAGAGAUUAGGAGGAACACCAGUGGCGAAGGCGACUUUCUGGACUGUAACUGACGCUGAGGUACGAAAGCGUGGGUAGCGAACA
rnacentral:rRNA from 1 species